rnacentral:rRNA from 1 species
GGGAUUGCCCCAGUAACGGCGAGUGAAGCGGCAACAGCUCAAAUUUGAAAUCUGGCCCCCCCCCCGGGGGGCCCGAGUUGUAAUUUGCAGAGGAUGCUUUGGGCGAGGCGCCUUCCGAGUUCCCUGGAACGGGACGCCACAGAGGGUGAGAGCCCCGUCUGGUCGGACGCCGAGCCUCUGUAAAGCUCCUUCGACGAGUCGAGUAGUUUGGGAAUGCUGCUCAAAAUGGGAGGUAUAUGUCUUCUAAAGCUAAAUACCGGCCAGAGACCGAUAGCGCACAAGUAGAGUGAUCGAAAGAUGAAAAGCACCUUGAAAAGGGGGUUAAACAGUACGUGAAAUUGUUGAAAGGGAAGCGCUCGUGACCAGACUUGGGGCGGGCGGAUCAGCCGGCGUUCUCGCCGGCGCACUCCGCCCGUCCCAGGCCAGCAUCAGUUCGCGCCGGGGGACAAAGGCGGCGGGAACGUGGCUCCCCAGGGAGUGUUAUAGCCCGCCGCGCCAUGCCCCGGGGGCGGACUGAGGGCCGCGCAUCACUGCAAGGAUGCUGGCGUAAUGGUCACCAGCGACCCGUCUUGAAACACGGGCCAAGGAGUCGUCCUCGUAUGCGAGUGUUCGGGUGUCAAACCCCUACGCGGAAUGAAAGUGAACGUGGGUGAGAGCUUCGGCGCAUCAUCGACCGAUCCUGAUGUUCUCGGAUGGAUUUGAGUAGGAGCAUACGGGGCCGGACCCGAAAGAAGGUGAACUAUGCCUGUGUAGGGUGAAGCCAGAGGAAACUCUGGUGGAGGCUCGCAGCGGUUCUGACGUGCAAAUCGAUCGUCAAACAUGGGCAUGGGGGCGAAAGACUAAUCGAA